rnacentral:rRNA from 1 species
UACGUAGGUGGCAAGCGUUGUCCGGAUUUACUGGGCGUAAAGAGCGCGCAGGCGGUCGUUCAAGUCGCGUGUGAAAGCCCCCGGCUCAACUGGGGAGGGUCACGCGAUACUGAUCGACUCGAAGGCAGGAGAGGGUAGUGGAAUUCCCGGUGUAGUGGUGAAAUGCGUAGAUAUUGGGAGGAACACCAGUGGCGAAGGCGGCUCACUGGACUGGUACGUGACGCUGAGGCGCGAAAGCGUGGGGAGCAACAGG